UACAUGGGGUGCAAACGUUGCUCGGAAUUAUUGGGCGUAAAGCGCACGUAGGCGGUUCGUUAAGUCGGAUGUGAAAGCCCUCGGCUCAACUGAGGAAGUGCACCCGAAACUGGCGAGCUUGAGUACGAAAGAGGAUCGCGGAAUUCCCGGUGUAGAGGUGAAAUUCGUAGAUAUCGGGAGGAACACCGGCGGCGAAGGCGGCGAUCUGGGUCGAUACUGACGCUGAGGUGCGAAAGCGUGGGGGGCAAACAGG
rnacentral:rRNA from 1 species